GUCUCUUAUGUCUCUCUGGAAUGCUACCCUUGCUCGGAUUUCAUCAAUCUUGUUGUCAAGAGACUGGACAUUGGCGAGUAGUAUGGUAGGGAGUGGUGUGCGAUGUGCCUGUCUCCAGAGCCUGACCAGAAGACCGCUUCGUCUGCCCCUUUUACUGCGACGUUGUUUUGGUUCGCUGGCUGGGAUCCCAUCCAUUGUCCUGGGUGGUGGGCAAAACACAGGAUCUGCUUCGGGAAAGUCGUAUUCCUGGUCGUAAUGAUGGUGAGUUGACGUUGCUCUUAUAUUCAGUGUCACUGUGUCACAUCCUCCCUGCAAUAUAACAAUAUUUAGGAUAUUCUAUUAACUGAAUUAGUGGAUAGAAGCUAACUUUUCUUUUGAGCCUUGUGUUCACUUGGACAUUACAAUGCCUAAACCUCAAUCUAGUGGACAAUGUUAGUUAGAACACUGUGCGCUAGGUAUAUCAAACUCCUCUGUUGUUCUGUUCUGUGUUGUAGGUCUAUUAAACCCCUGUUUACUCCUGUAGGUGUGUUAACUUCUGUUGUUUUGGUUUGUGUUCUGUUCUGCAUUGUAGGUGUAUUAAACCCCUGUUUAUUCCUGUAGGUGUAUGCAGUGGAGGUCAGCUCCAUAGCAGAACACACUGAGACCGUGGUGAGGCAGAAAGGCUGUGAGAAGGUGGUCAGAGUGUUCCAGUGCCGGCCUGAGGAGCUGAGUCUACCUGGCAGAGUGGAUGGGCAACUGUCUGCUGAUCACAUCUUUUGGACUGGCUGGAGGAAUGACCACCAAGGAGACUGUGUGGAGAACACUAACACAACUCCUGACAAAUGCCAUGAACUGGAGAGGGGCCAAUGGGAAGGAGGCAUUCGAACCACUUGCCCUGGUGGCACUGUUUUUGUCACAAGGUGCCAACAUCAAUGCUCAGAUAGAGGAGACAGUAAUCAGUGAUGGUCUAACAUGUGUUGAGUCAUACUGCUUUUUUUAAUAACUUUGCAUGGGUGAGUUGGAUUAAUGGAUGGUCCAUUGUGUGUCUACAACGGUCUCCACUCUGACAGGAAAAGACAUGCACUGCUGUGAAGGAUCCUGCCUGACUCAAAUGCUUCAAAUGGCACAGUUACUGGCACAGGCUGUCUGUUUGACAGGCAUUUAUCAAAAGGAAACCACCAGAACACUAUCCCUAAAAACAGUGAAUAAAGUGAUUGUUUGAUUGAA